GUCAAGAAGAGGCACAUGAUGCAAGUGCCUCGGCGCGGCCGAUGCGUGCUCUGCGCCGCCGCGUGAUGGACGCGCGCGGCCGGGUGGGAGCGGCGCAGAGCCGGGGGGCCCGAUCGCUGCGGUGCCGGCGGUGUGAGCGGAGGGUACUAGCUGGCGGUGACUGCUGGGUGUCAGGUUGGAGCGUGUGAGGCCCGCCGGUCUCGAACGGCGGGAGUGGCUCCGGGACCCAUCUGGAUGAAAGGAUCCCGCCGCUGAUCUCUUAGAAGGUUCCGCGCGGAUUUCGGCGGGUGCUGGUCCUGCUGCGCUGGUGAAGGCUCUGCGAGGUCACCGAGGAGAAGCUCCUGAAAGUGCCCGUACUUAACAAAAAACAUUAAUGUAAAGGGUAUAUAAAAUCAUAAAUAUUCUUGCUUCAA